AUAGGGCUUCAUCUCCCAGCACUGCAAAUUGGUGUUGUCUAUAAUUAUAGGGGUUAGACGUUCCUCAAAAGCUUCUUUUGCUGAAAACAAGAGUGAAAAUGUAUAUUUAACGACUACGAAGGAAAUGUAUCAGUUGCAUGUAUUUUUUAAUAUGUUUUUGACCACCAGUUAUUUUUAAAUACCUGGUGUGGUGACAGGCCUGUGGCCGACGCACAAGGAACAAAGAUCGCGACUGCCGCUGUGAUGCUGAAGAGACAGCUCUGCUUCAGCACCACCAAUGUUUUGGACAGCCGGAGAGCGCGUGGCGGGGCCGCCGACACACACACAGUGCUGAAUGGCCCGCGGCACGGAAAAAUUCCACCAUCCAGCAGCCGACGGGAGAGUAUAAAAGGGGCGAUACUCCGCUCACAAGGGAGAGGAGGCUCUCAGUGUGUAUGCGCUAAACUUUGCUGUGUGUUUUACAGACAGUCCCGACGUGAUCAAAGACUCCGCCCCCUGACUGCACCCGCGGCUUUUCCUGAUGGCAAAACGGGAUCCCCAUUACUCGGGAAACCCCCAGCACGCCCUCGGCAACCCCUCGGCGACGAAACACAUCCCCACUUCGACACACACGCACACCAAGGUUGUCGAGAGGGUGGCCGUGGACCGGUUCCUGAGGACUCUGCCACCCGCAGAACACCAGGCCGUGGGAAUGCAAGCCCCCGGGACACCCAGGGAACUACUCACUGCCCUGGAACGCACCCUGACCACCCUGGAGUUCGGCGAGGACGGAAAGCACCCAGACUGUCCAAGCCGGACUAGGGGACGCCGAAGAAGGCCCAGAAAACCUGGCUGGCAGGGCGUGUCCUCCCCACGCUGGACCCGCAGAAACCGCCCCAGCGAGUGAAGGAAGCACGAGUGCGGGAGGCCUACAUGGCCUGAGGCAAGGAGGACGUCGGGACAGAAGGUUAGCUGCACACACACACACACACACACACACACACACACACACACACACACACAUUAACCCGCACUUGUCUGUGUUCCAGCAGGUAAACCGGCAGGGGAACUUCGGCCGAGAGCAGAAAGAGGACAGCCACCUGAAGUAUUGUUGGGCCCAGGUGCACAAGAUCGAGGGGGUUGACCAGAGCCCGAACCAGAGACUCCCCUCCUCCUACUUUCUGGUCAAAGGAGGCCUUCUGUACCACCGGACCAACCGCAGAGGGGAAAACGUGGACCUCUUGGUCGUCCCCAAAGCCAGAACGCAGGCACUGAUGCACCUGGCUCAUGCCCAUCCGCUCGGGGGCCAUCCUGGAGAAGCUGAAAGACCGCUUUGUCUGGCCAGGCAUGGACGCAGAGGUCCGGGGCUUCUGCCAACAAUCACCCCAGUGCCAACGCAUGGCCCCGAGGAAGCCCCCACCGGCACCCCUCAUUCCGCUUCCCAUCAUAGGCGUCCCCUUCGAGAGGAUCGGCAUGGACCUCGUCGGGCCGCUCCCAAAAUCCGCCUGAGGUCACAAGUAUAUAUUGGUAAUCAUGGACUACGCCACCAGGUACCCCUAGGCAGUACCACUACGUAAAGCCACCUCCCGGAACAUCGCUAAUGAAAUAGUGCUCCUGUUCAGCCGUGUGGGGAUCCCAAAAGACAUUUUAACCGACUAAGGUACCCCGUUUGUGUCAAAGCUAAUGUCUGUGUCGGCUGUUGCAAGUGAAACACCUAAAGGCAUCAGUCUACCACCCACAAACAGAUGGGCUGGUCGAACGGUUCAACCGGACCUUGAAGCAGAUGUUGCGCUGCGUGAUACACGAGGAAGGGAUGAACUGGGAUCUCCUCCUACUGUACGUCCUCUUUGCCAUCCGAGAGUGCCCCCAGGCAUCCACGGGCUUCACACCCUUUGAGCUCCUCUUUGGAUGGCGACCUCAUGGACUGCUGGACGUGGCACAGGAAGCAUGGGAAGAACAGCCUUCCUCAUUCCGCUCGGUCAUCGAGUAUGUACAGGAGAUGCAGGAGAAGAUCAACCUAGUGGCCCCUUUCAUCCAAGAACAUAUGAGAGCCUCCCAGGAGGAACAGAAACGAGUGUACAACCGUCCAGCGCAAUCCCACGAGUUCCAACCUGGCGAUCGGGUAAUCCUGAUAGUACCAGCAGCUCCUGUAAAUUCCUAGCUCGGUGGCAGGGCCCAUAUACCGUCCUCGAGAAGAGAGGCCCUAUCGUGUCCUGGAGGCCCGCCAUAAGGCUAUCGAGGAGGAGGUCAGCCGGAUGCUGCGGGACAACAUCAUAGAGGAGUCCAACAGCCCCUGGUCCAGCCCUAUCAUAGUUGUACCAAACCCCAACAGAAGUAUGCACCUCUGCAACAACUUCCGGAAGCUAAACCAGAUCUCGGAGUUUGACAGCUAUCCCCUCCCCCGGGUGGACGACCUAGUGGAGCGAUUGGGGAGGGCCCGGUUAAUCUCCACCCUGGACCUAACAAAGGGAUACUGACAAGUGGCGCUGGCCCCAGAGGCGAGACCAAAGAUGGCCUUCAGCACGGCGAACGGCCACUGGCAGUACCGGGUUCUCCCCUUCGGGCUACAUGGAGCACCUGUGACGUUCCAGCAGCUGAUGGACAUUGUCCUGCAAAUUAUUGUGCCUUCGAAGCCGCCUACCUGGACGAUGUGGUCAUCGUUGUGCCUAACUUCUCCUCAAUAGCUUCCCCCCUCUCAGAUCUCACAAAGAAGGGCCAGCCGGACCGGGUGAAGUGGUCUGCAGACGCGGAGCGGGCAUUCCAAGCCCUGAAGGAAGCCCUCACCAGCACCCCUGUGCUACAUAACCCAGACGUCACCCUACCGUUCACCGUGUACACAGAUGCAUCCGAGACUGGGCUGGGCGCUGUUCUCUCACAGACCUUUGAUGGGGAGGAGCACCCGGUCCUCUACAUUAGCCGAAAGUUGUUCCCAGCUGAGAGGUGGUAUUUGGCUGUGGAGAGAGAGGCCCUAGCGAUAAAGUGGGCCAUCGAGGAGCGACGGUACUUCCUGACCCGGCGGCACUUUGUCCUGGUGACAGACCACGCCCCACUCCAACGGAUGGCCAAGGCCAAGGACAAUAACGCCCGGGUAACUCGAUGGUUCCUAUCCCUACAGGAUUUCUCUUUCCAGGUCCAGCACCGGGCAGGGACACAACAUGGGAAUGCAGAUGGCCUCUCAUGACGGGACGCCCUGUGGGCCCGACACACGACGACAGUAGGCUCGGAGUUGAGGGGGGUUACUGUGGCAACAGGCCCGCAGUUGACGCACAAGAAACAAAGAUCGCUCCUUCCGCGACUGCUACUGUGGUGCUGAAGAGACGGCUCCACUCCAUUUCAAUGUUUUGGGCAGCUGGAGAGCGGCUGCUGAAUGGCGCACGGCACGGAAAAAUUCCACCAUCCAGCAGCCAACGGGAGAGUAUAAAAGGGGCGAUACUCCGCUCGCAAGGGAGAGGGGGCUCUCAGUGUGUAUGCGCUAACCUUUGCUGUGUGUUUUACAGACAAUCCCGACGCGAGCAAAGACUCCGCCCCCCGACUGCACCCGCGACUUUUCCUGAUGGGAAAACGGGAUCCCCGUUACUCGAGAAACCCCCAGCACGCCCUCAGCAACCCCGCGGCGAUGAAACACUUCACCUCACAUCCCCACUUCGACACACACGCGCACCCACACCUUCUCACGAACCCAUUUUUGAAUAAAGAUUUCUCCACGAGAGACACUGAUAUGGCCUCCUGUGUGUCUGUGCUCUGUCCCCCACUGGCUAAAUUCCCUACACCUGGUAAUGUUGAAACUUAGAGGUGACUUAAAUGUGAUGUGCUAAGAGUAAAAAAAAAAUUAUGCUUCAAUUAUAUAUUAUUACAUAGAGUAUAAAGAUUACAGUCCCCUCCGAAAAUAUCGGAACGGCAAGGGCAAUUCUAUUGUUUUUGCUAGAAAAUAAACACAUUUGGGUUUGAGUUCAAAAGAUGAAUAUGAGAUGAUAGGUCAUUUUGAAUUUCAGAUUUCACUUCCUGGUCUCUGGACUUCAUGUUAAUUUAAUAAUCAUUUUUAACAACAAAUGCAGUCUUCACAGGAAAAACCCCAGGACUCAAGUGAAGAACAGAUAUUCAGAGCUAUUAACUGCUUAUAAACACACACACACACCUUUAAAUCUGAAUUAUCCAUAUCCUAUAUGGGAGAAUUUCAGACUUUGUGAAAUACAAACAAACUAUAUAAACUAUAGUCCUUUAAUUUAUCUAGUUUAACUAUAGUCCUGAAUACUGAAUAAGUAUUGGAACUGCAUGACCAAUGCUUUUGUCUUUGGUAUACACUGAAGACAUUUGGGUGAGAUUAAAAGAUGAAUAUUAGACGAUGGAUUAGAAUUUCAGCUUUCAUUUUUUCUUUCAAGAAAGAAACUACUGGUGUGCUAACAACCAGAUAUCGAACAGGUCUGACAAGGAAAACAACAGCAGCUGAUGACAGAAACACUGACUGUUGUUUUGGCAUUUUCCAUCAGCUGUCAGUGACCUCAUCAACAACCUCCACAAGGCAGGGGUGAAGGUAUCACCAAGAAACUUUGACACCAGAAAUAUACAGGCCAUAGCACAAGAUGCAAACCAAAAUCUCUGGAAAGAAGAAUCUGCUCAUGAGUGAAUAGUCAAGCUCAUCGGUCAAGCAUGGUGGAGGUAGUGUCAUGGCUUGGGCUUGCAUGACUGUUCCGUGAACAGGCUCACUCAUCUUUAUUGAUGAUGAAACUCAUGAUGGUAGCAGCGGAAUGAAUUCAGAAGUCUACUGCCAACACAACAAAGGACUUAAAAUGUGGAAGGUUUUAGACUGCCCAAGCCAAUCACAAAACCCAAUUGAGUAGCAUUUCACUUCCUGAAGAGGAGAUAAACAACAAUGGAAAGAAGCUGCAGUACAAGUCUGGAAAAGCAACAUAAAAAAGAAGAAUGGAACAGUUUGGAGAUGUCACUGGGUCGGCGGCUUGAUGCAGUUAUUGCAAACAAAAAGGGAGAUGCUGUUAUUUACUUUAAAAUCUGUUCUGAUACUUUUGCUAUGGGUGAUCUAGCACCAAAGGAGACAUAUUUAACCCAUCCGACUUGUUUUUUCUUUUACUUUUAAUCAAUGCACUUAUAGUUUUGUAAAUUCGUCCUCUGUAAAGCACUUUGACCUGCCUGUUUUAUAGGAAAAAAUACAUCAAAACAACAGAUGCCUGGAAAUGAUACUGUACUGCUUACCUCUCUGAUGGUUCCACGCAUGGGCCUCUCCGAGUAAGUGUGGCUCAAAAUGGUACACUCCGUUCUGCGUGAAGUACUCAUCAGUACUUAGGACUAUUCCACCUGGGUUUUGUUCCAACAUUUCACUGCAGAGGACAAGAAACACCACAGCGUUGUGGUCACACACGCACACACACACGUGUUUGUCUUACUAACCCGCUUCCACUGACACGUAAUUAUUAAUGCAGCUUAUUAGUGCAAUGUUAUGCCUAAACCUAACCCCAAUCUUAGAGAUAGAAGAAAAGAAAGAAAGGAAGGAAGGAAAGAAGGAAAGGAAGGAAGGGAAAGAAAGAAAGAAGGAAAGAAAGAAAGAAGGAAAGAAAGAAGGAACGGAAGGAAAGAAAGAAGGAAAGGAAGAAGGAAAGGAAGGAAGGAAGAAAGAAGGAAAGGAAGAGGGAAAGGAAGGAAGGAAGAAGGAACUGAAGGAAGGAAAGAAAGAAGGAAAGGAAGGAAGAAAGAAGGAAAAAAGAAAGAUCAAACCUGUCAGAUAUUCCUGUUCUUGUGAGAACACUUGGUCCCCACCAAGAUCUAAAGUUAUAUAAGAUAUAACACCAGGCCAGACAGCCUUUAUCACUUCUCAUUCAUAUUUAAUAUUGUAAAAUAUCACACAUGCAUUGCAUUAUUUUAUUGAUUUUCUAACACAUAAAAUGAUAAUACGUGUAUUUAAUUGCGGGGCAGUGGAGUCUUGGCGGUUAAGGCUCUGUGUUACUGAUCAGAAGGUCGGGGGUUCGAGCCCCAGUGCUGCCAAGCUGCCACUGUUGGGCCCUUGAGCAAGGCCCUUAACCCUCUCUGCUCCAGGGGGCGCUGUAUCAUGGCUGACCCUGCACUCUGACCCCAACUUCCUAACAUGCUGGGGUAUGCAAAGACCAGAAUUUCACUGUGCUGUAAUGUAUACGUCAGCAAUAAAGACUCGUUAUCAUUAAUUGAAAUUAUGCUGAGUGUGUGAGUAUACUUCAUAGAACUGUUACAAGCGCAUGCAGUCCAGUCCAUGUCCAUAUUAUACUGCAUACAAUAAUAAACUGUAAUUCAGGGGUCAGAGUUCACCAAUUUAACGUCUGUGCAACGCAAAAGCAACCAAUACCGAGCAUUAAAGCAUAGAGGUUUACGCCUUUCCACUUUUUACGUGGGUUCAUAUACACCCUGCCAUUAUUUCAUUAUUGCUGUGAUGUCAUUUCCAUAUGAAAAUCUAGCAGAGCUCUUAGAACAGAAAAGGUUGGGGAAGAACAAACGGAGAUUGUACUGUUCCUGUUUUUCUUUCUAAGGAUCAUCCGCCAUUGAAACCUUUAACCUGUAAAUCGUCCACUUUUACGUGUUCUUGACUACUGAUUAGGACGUGGCCGAGUCACAUGCUUUAUUUUUUUAACGUUGUAACGUUUCGCCUGUGCUUGUCUAUUUAUUUAUUUAGCGCUUGUAAAGACAGGUGACAAAUGAAACCUCACGUCGACUCGUUACGCCUCCACCACGACGUGACGUUCUUCAUGAUUAACUUUUUAAUGUCAUCUCAUCAUCUUCUAUGGUGUAUUCACCAGGGAAUGCAUAAGAAAGAAAUGUGUUUUUUCUCCUCAGUUAAAACUCAUUCUUAAAUUCUUGCUUACCUUAUUUUGCUACCACCUGCACCAUCCCGCUUGAAAUACAAGCAACGUUCCUGACUGACGUGUACAAACAAAAGCGCUGUGGCAUAAUUAUACACAUACGUAAUUCUUAAAACAUACAUGGAUGUAAACCAAAAUUACAAUGUUUUUUUGGGUACCUAUAAUGACCCGAUGUUAUCAGUGCACUUCGGUGACCUAGCAAACAAGACAAUAAAACUGUAUAAUAUAGGCAGUGUCCACCUGUCCAUCUGCGCACGUUUAUAUGAAAAACAUCCCAACCCCAUAUUGUGGUAAGAGAAAACACAACAGGGGAAAUCAAACGACGCUGGUUUAGCCAUUUGUGUUACCAAUAAUUGCCUUUAACCUCAAACAUAAUUGAAGCGUUGCUAUUCAAUGUUGUCCUCUCAGAUAAUUAAAAAUACCACAAGCCAUCAUCUACGGAAGCAUGGUUAUGUAUGGUGCUAUGGUUAUGGUAUGAGAUCAUGAAUAAAUGAAUACCUGGCAAGUGUCGUUUUGCCUGAUCCUGGAGCCCCUCUGAGCAGCACCAGUACUUGCCCUUCCAAUUUGAGUCGACUCUGAGGAUAAAGCAUCCAAGACUUGGGAACCGUAGCCGAGGGCUUCAGAGGAGCGUGACUGACAGGCCUGGAAGGCAUCCAUUGAGUCACGGAAAUGGGAUUUGUUGUCCAGGGGUUAGGGACAACAGGUGUGAUAAAAGCUGGUCCAUCCAUGCAGGGCUUGAAAUCUGGAGCUUGGAUAUUCCAGAACGUGUGCACACUUUGAGGACGUGGGAUAUUAACUGACAUUUGCGUCGGAUACUGGUCAGGUCUGCGGUAGGCCUUAAACGCUGAAGGUCUUGGGGCAGCAAAGGUGGAAUCACGUGUCAAGUGACUAAAAUCAAGAGAGAUACCACUCUCCUGGGGAAAAGACACCCCCCCCAAACUGAGCUCGUUUAUUGGUGAAGCAUUUCUUUGACCGCCACCAAUCUUGGCAGUGGAGAAGGAACUCUGCUCACUUAAAGACCCUAAUUUGGUGUCAUUUGGAGUCACAUCUAGCUGAUCAAGCUCCGUCAAAGCUUCUUGAGCUAGAAGGGGACUCGGUGGAGCACCGGCGGAAAGGGGAGCUGACUCGGAAGGUAGAGGCAAGACAGAAGGAGUAAUAGAGGAUGGUAAAGGCUGGCGCAUCGUUAAAGAUUCCAGUUCUUGGUCAAUAAGAGAAUCAAACUCUUCAGUUAGGCGAGUUGUUUCCGGGCUGAGCUCCUGAUGUGAUUCUUCAUAAUUGGACGCUCCUGAUAGGACUGGUCUUUCUGUGGAGGAUUUAGUGUGAGAUGGACGUGGUUCCAGCAGAGCAGCAGCCGUCUCAAACCCCGAAAGUGGAGGAGAGGUUGUGGUCUUCCCCUCAGCAGCACCAGACAACUCUAGGAGUGCAUCCAUGGCAUUUUCCACUGAGAGAGCGAGAGAGACAGUCAGUUUAGGUGUGUAUAAUUACAUCUUUGGAUACAUCAACAUUUAGUUGUUAUAGAGAUAGAUUUGUUUUAGAAGCAUUGUAUCCUGAUAUAUUCAUAAUUAAUGUACGUACAGUGGGGGAAAAAAGUAUUGAACGUUUCAACAUUUCUUUCAGUAAAUAUAUUUCCAAUGAGGCUUUUCACAUGUAAUUUUCACCAGACAUCAGUAUUAACUCAAGAAAUCCGUAAAUAUAAAGAAUUCACAACAAUAAAGUCCAUAAAUAAAGUUAUGUGUAAUAAAGUGGAAUGACACGGGAAAAAAGUAUCGAACACGCUAACUGAAAUUGAUUUAAUACUAAGUAGAGAAGCCUUUGUUUUUUAACGACAGCUUCAAGACGCUUCCUGUGUGAAGAAAUUAAAGGGCCGCGGUUUUCAGGUGUGAUUUUGUCCCAUUCUUCUAAACAUAUUGUCUUUAAAUCUUGUUCAAUUAGAUUCAAGUCAGAUGAUUGACCAGUCCAAGUGUCAUUCCACUUUAUUACACAAAACUUUAUUUACGGACUUCAACGUUGUGAAUUCUUCAUAUCUGCGGAGUUCUUGAGCGAAAAUUUCAUGUGAAUAACCUGAUUGGAAAAUAUAUUUACUGAAAACAAAUCUUGACGCGUCCAAUACUUAUUUCCCCCACGGUACGUACAGUGAAAUCCAUAAAUAUUUAUACACUGACAAAUAUACCGGAGUUGAAAAUUAUAUCAUGUAUAUAAGCUCAAAAAAAAAGGGAUUCUUAUGUCAUCUACGAACAGUUUUCUCUGGUCUCCAGGACGUUAGGUGUUCCUGAACUCGCCAGUCCCUCGAACAGCUGAGCAGCCAAAUGUCUGAUUACUUUUGAUCCCUUUAUAAAGGGGUGGGUGCGAGCACUUAUGAAAAGUAUAGCAAUUCCUACACUGUUCGCCCAAAUUUGGGUUUAAAUAUCCUCAAAUUAGUGCUGAAAGUACAUUCAAGUCCACACUCUGGUAGUAGAAAUAGUAGUCAGAUAAAAUAACAAUAACUUUUUCAAUAUCCAGUUAUUUGUAGACCUGCCUGUAUGUUACACCCAAGAAAAGUAGUAUGAAAAAUAACCUGCCUAUUAAAAAAAUAUUGAAAAAUAAAUAAAUAAACCAAAACCUUGUCCAAACCAUUAUAGAGUGCUGUCUUUACUAGUCCUGGAUCAGGGUCACGUGAUUAAACAUGCGGGAUAUGUACUAAUCUGGAUGUAAAGCUGAAGUAUCUACUCCAUAUACAGGUGUAAAAUCUUUAUUUUAUUUUAUUUUUUUUUAAAUAACGUCACCAGGAUCACUUUCAGUUUUAAAUCUCUGAGCAGUCCUGGGAUCUGCGCCACAGCCAGCAGAUCCAAAAUCCAGUCUGUUGUUGAAAAGUUGCUGGGGCGGUUGGGUGAACUACCUUCACUCCACACACAUGGCCUGACCUACCUUUAAAAUCCGCCUCGGAAAGCACUAUGAAAAUGACAUCAGGGUCCAAGUCAGAAAACAUAUCGUGCAUGCUCUUCACGAUUUCGUCCUUGUUCUGCAAACUCAAAUCGGACAUAGUAGAUCCCGAGAGAUCACGCGUUACAGAAGCAGAUCCGUUCGGCCCAGGAUUAUAAUAAUAAUGAGCGCUGACAUGUUCUCCUGACUGGCCUGCUACUGCACCGGGCCCGGUUUUCUUUUUCUUAGGCAUUCUGCCAGACCAGCCACUGUUUACAAGUUUGUAGCCACACGGACCGAGCGAACAUUAGCAUUUGGACCAAGUAACAACGACGUGUUUUUUACGGAAAGGAAAUGUAACAGCACUACUAGCGGUCAGAUUGGGAAUAACAUUUCUGGAGCUGAAGUGGGAAGAUUCAACCCGUCCGCUUCAAAUGAUUACUCUUCGAGGCCAGUAGAGGACCGUGUGGAAAAUUCGCGUUAGCGGUACAGCGGUAUGGAGUUCCCGCAACACCAGAAGCCGCCGGGGGACGGCAAGAUCAUUUACCCGCCCGGAGUGAAGGAGAUCACGGACAAAAUCAGCAACGAUGAAGUGGUGAAACGGUUAAAGGUAAGAACGUUGUCAUGCUCCUCGUCUUGUCAAAUCUGUAUUGGAGUGAGUUUCGCGUGCACAAGAACUCACAAACUGGACCUGUUUAUCAUCAAGGGAUCUGCAGGUGAGGCAAGGAUCCAGUCCAGGCAUCUGGAUCCUGAAGUGUAAACAAACAUCUGGCCAUUCAGAAAGACUGCUCCUGAUGUGUUGUCUUUGCUUCUUUACAUUUACGGCAUUUAGCAGACACCGUUAUCCAGAGUGACUUAUCUUAUAUCUUUAUACAUCUGAGCAAAUGACGGUUAAGGGCCUUGCUCAAGGGCCCAACAAUGACAGCUUGGUGGUGCUGGGGUUUGAACCCCCGAUCAGUAACCCAAUAUUAUUGUUUUUAUGAACUUAAUAAGACAGUGGGGGGGGUACUGAGCGUCACGUUGUCGUUGAGAAACCCGGAAAGCUGAACGUCCACCGUUUUUGAUUUUUCCCUCUUGAAGGAAAAUUGACCAACUGUCACAAAGCACUGAGCCUGGAGACUCCUUCCAUAAGCGUUUCAUAAAGAUUUUAUAAAAUCUCACAGCAAACAGAAAACUUCGCCAUCCAAAUGUCAAGAUUGUAAAGUUUUUGAAAUUCGUUUAUCAUCAGUCGUAUCUGUAGCGUCCACUGUGCGAGGCCUCGUGUAAAUCGCUCCUAUAGAAAGGAGCGUUCGUGUAUUAGGAGUAUUAAGACAAGGGCUUUAAUGCAAAAUGUUUGAAUGACAGAAAAACGAUUAACACUUUCUGACUGAGCAGAGCGCAUCGCCGAUGUAGCGUGAUAAAGCAAUAUCUCACGAGCAAAAGAGUCAAACUAAGUCAAUAUCUUGGGGAAUAACGCCAUGAAAACUGGGGCACUGAACUGCACACCGCGUCUGGUGCGAGGAGGAGAUUCCUGACGCAGACAUUCGCUCUGCUUCUGUCCUCGCGUCUGCUCGAGGCCUGUCAAAUCAUCAUCUGAACUUUGAAUAUUCGUCAAGUCAAACGGCGCUCUAAAACACAGACACUGACUGACUAAAGCGUAAAGAAUUCACAAUACUGGAUUACAAUAGCGUCUUAUUGUAAUGUUAUUAUUUCAGAUCACAUGUUUUUGUUCAUGCAUGUUUAAGUUAAUAUUUAAAACGGGUGAGUAUUUGGUUUAAUUUUUGCCUUUUCUCGUCAACUAAAAUGCCGUCGAUUCACGUUCACCACCGUUGUAGUGAGUAAAAUGGAUAAAUAUGACCUGACGAAAACGUCCUUUAAAUUUAGUCGCUAUUUCGUCAGAAAGACAAAAGAUAUGCUGUGUUAUCAGUGGCAUAAAAUUGUUUCAAAGUGACGAGGAUAUUGUUUGAGUAUUAUUUCUGGGACAGUAUAUCGUCCAAUAAAAUGUUCUCGUGACAGGCCUAAGUAACAGCUCAGUCACAGGGACUUCAGUGAUGGACUGUCCACAUAAUCUAAAACUAGUAAUAAACAGAUUUUUUUUUUUUUUAAACGUGGUGUUUAAUAAAGUAAAAUGUAAAAUCGUGACUUUUACUAGAGGUCGACCGAUAUUGGAUACCCAUAACGAAGUUGUUCAGUACCUACCUACUGAUAACCGAUGCUGAAUGAAAACAUAACACUCAAACUAAAACAUUGAACUUUAUUACAAAAGUAAACAGUGCUGACUGGACCAUGAAAAUGUACACUACUUUUAAAAUGAAA
ensembl:lncRNA